rnacentral:lncRNA from 1 species
UCGUGUAACAUGAGUACAAUGAAUAAGACAUAUAAUACUAAUGAACAAAACGUAUAUCUAAUUAACAAGAUGUAUAUACUGAUGAAAAAUAAAAUUUAAAAAAUUCGUAAUGAAUAAGAUAUAUAUACUGAUGAACAGGGCCGUAUAUACUGAUGAACAAUGCAGUAUAUACUGAUGAAUAACAAAAUUUAAAAUAUUCUGCUCCCUUCAGGAUUCGAACCCUGCGAAAAAAAAUCACCCUCCAGAUACAAUAUCAGUCAUAGGAUUGAUAAAAUAAACGCACCAGAUCGUGCCCUAGAUCUCACUAAAAUUAGGGGGUCUCAUUGGAGCGGGCCCCCUAUAUAUAUAUAUAUAUAUAUAUAUAUAUAAUAUAUAAAAUUAUUAUAUUUCUAUAUAGUAAUAAUAAAAUAUAUAAUAANAAUAAAUAAAAUAAUAUAUAAUAAUAUAAUAAUAAUACUACUAUAUAAUAUAUUAUAUAUAUAUAUAUAUAUAUAUAUAUAUAUAUAUAUAUAUAGGGGGCGCGCUCCAGUGAGACCCCAUAAGUUUCGUGAAACACUAGGACAAUGAAUAAGACAUAUAAUACUAAUGAACAAAACGCAUAUCUAAUGAACAAGAUGUAUAUAUUGAUGAAAAUAAAUUUAAAAAUUCGUAAUGAAUAAGACAUAUAUACUGAUGAACAGGGCCGUAUAUACUGAUGAACAACGCAGCAUAUACUGAUGAAUAACAAAUUUAAAAUAUUCUGCUCCCUCCAGGAUUCGAACCCUGCGAAAAAAAUCACCCUCCAGAUACAAUAUCAGCCAUAGGAUUGAUGAAAUAAACGCACCAGAUCGUGCCCUGGAUCUCACUAAAUUAGGGGGUCUAUUGGAGCCGUACCUACUACUAUAUAUAUAUAUAUAUAUAUAUAUAUAUAUAUAUAUAUUGAGAUAUAGAAUGUGGUUUAUAUAAGAACCUUCUUAUUUAUGAAAAUAAUUACUUCAUCUGUUCCAUGAAGCAUGACCAAGUUCUUUUCGACACGAAUUUUAAGAAAAUUUGGUAUUUUAUGUGUUAAAUGUGAUAGAUAUAAAAGUGAAAAGGUGAAUAAAUAAUAAUUUUUUUGUCAUAUAAAGAAACUGGUCAAGUUUCGUGGGGACAAACCAAAAAGAAAACUUAAUCAUGCUUCGUGGGACAGAAGGAGUAAAAUUUUUUACUCGACAAAAAUCGUGAAUUCGCUAUAUAAUUUAAGAUAUUGGACGUAUAAAUUACUGUAACUCUCAAAAUAAAAAAUUUCAUAAUUUAUUGCACAUUAUGUAUAAUUUACGACAUUCAGGACGUGUUUGCAUUUUAUCCAUCUAAAUAAAAGGAUGAUAUAAUGAGAUAAAAAUUUAUCAUUUAAAGUGAGAAUCACAUUUUUUUUAUCUUGUUUAGGUUGAAUAGUAAGUUGGUAAAAAGUUAUACCAUCCUCAUUUAGAUACAAAAUUAUCUAUAUUCCAAAGAAAAAUGUGUUGUCCGAAAUUUUAUAUCAUCCAUCCGAAUUUUUUAUUAUUAUCAAAAUAAACGAAGUAUAAGAUAGUAGCUUAAGUUUAUUCCUUUUUUUAUACCUUCAAAACAAACCCACCCUUAAUGUAUAUUAUUUCUUUUUUCUUUUUUGAGGUGGUCUUGGGUACAUCCGGGUGUACCGUACAAUUGGGUUACACCUUCACUUAAAUUUUGACCCGCACUCUGAUUUUAACUUAUAUACUGAUCCAAUCCAUAUAAAUUAAUACUCUCUUGAUCCGCCAAGAUUAUGUAAAAAUUACUAUAUCGGACGUCCGCCAAGAUUAUGUCACUUUCCUUUUAAGGCAAUGGUCCCACCAUCCUCUUUAAUAUUUUAUCCUUACUAACACUCUUUAUUUACAAAAAAAUCCACCACAAAUUCAAUCUUCAACCACACAUCUCAUAAAAUGGUGGGACAUUUUCUCCACUACAUCAAAAUUAUCACCAAUUUUAUUAAAUCUUGUACCCAAACAAUUUUACAUAAUUUUAACAGACGUAGUAAAUAUUAUAUUAGCUACGGAUCAAACCGCAAUCGGUAUACUUAAGAUUUUGUGUUCUUUUAUCGAGGAAACCCUUAAUAUAUAAUUUACUGAAACUAUUAUUGUUCUCCUAUAGGAAGAUGAUCAUUUGGACAUUUUUAUAUAGAUAUACGUGUACAUAUUUAUCUCUCAAAGGCCCCUAGAGAGAUGAAGAUAGUCCAUUUGGUUUUGAUAUGGACAACUACAAGAGUGACGUUUGGGAGUUUUACGUUUGGCAAUCUGUCAAGUCGUGAUUCUCCAUUCCUCCUCGGACUGGGAGUGGGUCACCAAGGUCGACUGCCUGCUAAACUCCCACUUUAUAUUUCUUGCCUCUAUGAAUUCUAAAUAAUGUAAAUAUUCUCUCCGUCCCGUAAAGCAUGAUCAAAUGUUUUUUUGAUUUGUUUUAUGAAGUUAGAUCAAUUCUUUAUAUGGUAAAAAAUAAUUUUUUAUUCACCUUUUCACUUUUACACCUACCACACUUAACACACAAAAUAUCAAUUUCUUAAAACUCAUGCCGAAAAGAACUUGAUCAUGCUUCAUGGGACGAAUGAAGUAUAUUUUAUGUAUUUUCUAGAAUAUGAAUAAUUUUUUUAUAACAAACACACUACAAGAAAAAAUUUAACAAAGCGAAAUUAUCUCGAUCAUUAAUUAAUAUCAUUAGAGGUUGAAUAGCGAUCGAAAUGACUUUUUUUUAAUUCAUUUAAUGACCAAAAAUUUCGUUCGAUAGUUAAUAUUGUUAUUUUUUAUUUUAUUUUAUAUUAUUUUAAAAUUGAUCAUUAAUUCGAUCAUUAAUAUUAUAUUUUAUUAUUAUUUUAAAAUUGAUUAUUAUUAUUAUUUUAAAUCAUUCAUUAAUUCGGAUGUUAACAUUUUUUUAUUAUUAUUAUAUUGUAGUCGACCGUUAAUAUUUUUUUAUUUUAAAAAAUCAAUCGUUAAUAGGUGCUAGUUAUAUGAAUGAAUGAGAUUGCAUAAUGAAGAAAAGUUUGAAUGUAUUAAUAGGUGCUAAUUAUAUCAAUAAUAUACAUCUUUAUUACUGAUGAUCAUUUAAAAGAAAUUUCAAAGUUAAUCGUAUUUAACUUAAAGCAACGAGAAAAGACUUGUAAGAUAAUCAUCAAUUUGGAGUUGGAUUAUUAUAAUUAAAAAUAUUUUUUUAAUGAUCGAAUUUUUUAUCGUUAAUUUAUUGCAAAAAAAAUCACCUCCAAUUUUGAUCAAUUUGUCAAACUUUUGGUUUCGAACAAAUUCAUGUUACUCGAGAAAUAAAGAUUCGGAUUUCAUGGGCUCGAGAAGAGUAAUAUUUUGAUAUAUAAUUUGAUGUUUAAACACUUACUUGAUCUGUUGAUGAUUACUUCUAUGAUGGGGUUUGGUAUUUCACCCAGGAAUUUAUUAAUGCUUUCCCUGAGAUUGUUGGUGAUAUUUUGGUGCUUUCUAUUGGCGAGGAGUCUGACACUCGUUACUGAAAACCUUCUCUUCAUGGCACGGUAACUGCUGCUCUUGCAUUUGCUAAUCACUGUCAUCGUUUUCCUCGCGUAAGCUGGGGUUCUUGGAUCUGGAGGCCCUACAUUCCAGUUAGACGUUCUUUAGGUUGCUGGCGGAUUCUUCAUGAUCAUCUUCCUACCUAUGAUCACCUGAUUAGAUAUGGUAUGAUCAUGCCCAACCAUUGUGUCUUUUGUUUCUCUUCGGGUGAAAUUAUGGAUCAUGUUUUAUGGUCUUGCGGCUACGUUAGACCUAUUUGGAUGGAGUUCUGGAGUUGGUUUCAGUUAACUGAGACUGCUGUUGCUGUUGAUAUGCAUAGUUUUUUAGUUAGGGCCUGGGGUUAUAAGUUCAGUUCUCAGCAUAAAUAUACUCUUUUGAUUAACUUAUAAUUGAGGAACCCCCUCCCCACAGAGUUAGAAGUUAGAAUAAAUAUACUCUUUUGAUUAACUUAUAAUAGAUGAUUCAGAUUAAAUCAAAUUUGUAAUUUAAUAAUUAAUAGUAUCAGUAGUAAAUUGUAUUUUUCGUUUAUAUGCAAAGAGAGAAAAAUCCGCGAUUUGAUUAUUCUUCAUUCUCUGGCAUAAAUAAAUCAGAUGAAUUUAACUUAUGCUCAAUGCAUUUUUCAAUAUAUUUGAAUGAACUUAUAAUUAUUUGUGUCGAAUUUAGUGUGCGUGGGAGAUUGUCUAGACGACUUUAUUUUGAACUUAUAGUUAUUUUGAACUUUAUCUUAAUGAAUUUAUAGUUAUUUUGAUGAAACUUAUAAAAAUUUGUUUUAAACUUUAUGCUAAACAUAAUAAUAUAUCUCACAAUCAUUAUAAUUCUGCUGAACAUGAUAAAUACUUUUAAUGGACUUUAUUUAGAAACGUAAAGAACGUAAUAGAGAAGAAAUAAUUGCUUAUGAAUUCCUAACAUAUCUUCCAUAAACGUAUAUACCAUAAACGUAUCCUCCAAAAUUAUGCAAAUUUGAUUAAGAUAUGAUAUGGUCUGGCAGCCGUUCGAUUGCAUCAAAUAAAUGGUUAGGAUUAUUUCUCAAUUCUACAAACAUUUGCCUCUUUCAGUUGAACCUCUCUCUCUCUCUCUCUCUCUAUAUAUAUAUAUAUAUAUAUACACACACACACAAAGCGAUAUAUAUAUAUACACACACACACAGAGAGAGAGAGAAAGGUUCAACAGAGAAUGCCAAAUAUUUAGAGAAUAGAGAAUUCGUGAAACAAAAACGAACAGAUCUAUAAUUUUGAUGAACAAAUCAAUGUACCGCAUGAACAUAAAUUUGCCCCGGGUUCGAAUCCUACUGGUGGCGAGUUUUUCUCUAUUUUUACUAAAUACGUCUAUUCAUUACUUAUGUUGAUUUGUUUGUAAAAUGUAUAGAUUUGUUCAUGAUGAACAAAAAGAUAAUUCUCUAUAGAACUCAACCCUAUAUAUAUGGGUGGGCUAGAAUAAAAACACAUUUUUUAUAUAAACUAUAAAUGACUUAAAAUGUAUGAAUUUUAUGUAGAACAUGUAUGAAUUGACUGUGUAACUGUAUGAAUUGCGAAAAAUAAGUUUUUUGCUACCUUUGAGAUUCAAACUUAGGACCUGAAUUCAUCCAACAAGGUGAUGAACCAGCCGUAGAUCUUGAUGAUCUAAGGGCUGAAAAUUGUUCCUAUUUUAUGCAAAAAAAUGUGUUUUUAUUAUAUAUAUAUAUAUAUAUAUAUAUAUAUAUAUAUAGUAGAGAGAGAGAGAGAGAGAGAGAGUUUGGUUCAAGUGUAAACUCUAUCUUACGGUGAAAACUAGAUCCUAUGAACAAACACAUAAAUACGUGAACAAAAGAUAGUCAAAUCGUGAACAAUUAAAUGUUCACGUGUAUACAAGAUUCAACCAUCUUUGUUCAUGUAUUUAUGUAUUACAAUUGUUCACGACUUGAUUAUCUCUUGUUCAGGUAUUUAUGUGUUGUUUAUAGGAUCUAGUUUUCACCGUAAGAUAGAGUUUACACUUUAUCCUUCCAUUAUAUAUAUAUAUAUAUAUAGUAGGGCGCGCUCCAAUGACGACCCCUUAUUUUCGUGUAACAUGAGUACAUGAAUAAGACAUAUAAUAUUAAUGAAACAAACGUAUAUACUAAUGAACAAGAUGUAUAUACUGAUAGAAAAUUAAAUUAAAAUUCGUAAUGAAUAAGACAUGUAUACUAAUGAACAGGGCCGUAUAUACUGAUGAACAAUGCAUUAUAUACUGAUGAAUAACAAAAUUUAAAAUAUUAUGCUCCCCUAUCACCCUCUAGAUACAAUAUCAGCCCAUAGGAUUGAUAAAAUAAACGCACC